rnacentral:sRNA from 1 species
CAUUGCAGUUGGCUGAACCUUGUGUCAACCAUCCAUUCCAGGAGCCAGCGAUCUGAGGUGAUUUUCUUCCACCCCCACCUCCACCUCUAGAUGAUUCCAGUGCCCUUCCAUCUAUCUCUGGAAACUUUCCUCCUCCACCGCCUCUUGAUGAAGAGGCUUUCAAAGUACAGGGGAAUCCCAGAGGCAAGACACUUGAGGAGAGGCGCUCCAGCCUGGACGCUGAGAUUGACUCCUUGACCAGCAUCUUGGCUGACCUUGAGUGCAGCUCCCCCUAUAAGCCUCGGCCUCCACAGAGCUCCACUGGUUCAACAGCCUCUCCUCCAGUUUCGACCCCAGUCACAGGACACAAGAGAAUGGUCAUCCCGAACCAACCCCCUCUAACAGCAACCAAAAAGUCUACAUUGAAACCACA